rnacentral:rRNA from 1 species
GAGUUUGAUCUUGGCUCAGAUUGAACGCUGGCGGCAUGCUUUACACAUGCAAGUCGAGCGGCAGCGCGGGGCAACCUGGCGGCGAGCGGCGGACGGGUGAGUAGAGCAUCGGAACGUAUCCCGUAGUGGGGGACAACCCAGCGAAAGCUGGGCUAAUACCGCAUAUGCUCUACGGAGGAAAGUGGGGGACUCGCAAGGGCCUCACGCUAUGGGAGCGGCCGAUGUCCGAUUAGCUAGUUGGUGGGGUAAAGGCCCACCAAGGCGACGAUCGGUAGCUGGUCUGAGAGGAUGAUCAGCCACACUGGGACUGAGACACGGCCCAGACUCCUACGGGAGGCAGCAGUGGGGAAUUUUGGACAAUGGGGGCAACCCUGAUCCAGCCAUGCCGCGUGCGGGAAGAAGGCCU